rnacentral:rRNA from 1 species
CAGCAGCCGCGGUAAUACGGAGGGGGCUAGCGUUGUUCGGAAUUACUGGGCGUAAAGCGCACGUAGGCGGUUUGGUAAGUUAGAGGUGAAAGCCUGGAGCUCAACUCCAGAAUUGCCUUUAAGACUGCCGAGCUAGCAGGUGAGAGAGGUAAGUGGAAUUCCGAGUGUAGAGGUGAAAUUCGUAGAUAUUCGGAAGAACACCAGUGGCGAAGGCGGCUUACUGGCUCAUACUGGACGCUGAGGUGCGAAAGCGUGGGGAGCAAACAGGAUUAGAUACCCGCGUAGUCCCUGUCUCUUAUAC